GGGGCCGUAGUCGAGCCUGGUAAGAUGCGCGGCUUGGACCCGCGAGAUCCCGGGUUCGGGCGUAGCCGCCCAGAAAUCCCGGCGGCCCCACCA
rnacentral:tRNA from 1 species